GAGCCAGAAUCAGUUAUCAUGCUGACUCUAAUCAUUAUCCUAAUUCCUCUACAUUCGGCUGCAUCACAAUACAAAGCCACCUUCAAUUAAGGACCUGCCAGGCAGUCUGCGGCCUUGAAAGAGACUUUAGUUUUGUGCCAAACACUGAGGCAGGCUCAACACGACUGUUCUUUACAGUCCAACUGCAGAGGCACCAGGGCUGAGAGCUGGCUGUGUGCGUGAGCUCCGGCCCGCGUUCUCCAGCCACUACCCCACAAUGCCUCCCUCUCUGUGCCGUCUGCCUCUACACGAACUCUGGGAGGGGAAAAAAGUGAGCUGAGGGAGUUGCUUCUGUACUUCCUGGACAAAAGCCCUGCGAACUCCUGGAUAACCUGCUCUCCACACAGCAGGCGACAGAUGCACCUGAGCCAAGUGACAGGCGCAGUCCCUCCAAGCGUGGAAAAUGCCUGACACUAAGAAAAAGGCGAGCUCGUGACGUUUCCAACGACAAAACAGCAGCUAAAUUCCCGAUCUCCUUGAACGCCUCCCAAAUAAAGAUCUCGUGUCUGUUUCACUUAGGAACAAAGUUCAAUUUCAAAACGCCCGUCAAAAAGGAGUGGAGCCUAUCAUCCCACCCAACAGUAAGUCACUGACUUCCCCUGGCCAGCACCCGCGUUACUUUCAGGCCAGAGAGCCUUCUUAGCACAACACAACUUCGACAGAAAAGGCAGGAUGGGGACCCCACUCCCUCCCCAGCUAUUCAGCAACAAGCGAUUACAGGCGCCCGUCGCGGCGCACCGGAGCGCUGGGGCGAGAACCCACGGACGCGCAUCAUGUUAGACCAAAGGCUUAGAUUCAGUCACAGCUACUGAUGUGCACGCCAGCAAGAACUGUUACCAUCAAAUGGAUAUGAUACAACAAUGAGAAAAAGACCUGAAUAUGAAGGGUUGUCCCCUAAAUUUCAGUACUGAAGAGGGGCAGGAUUUGUUAGUUCCUACCUAAAACCUAAGGGAUCAACUCAAAACCAGAAAGCAAAGGUGUUGGGACCAGCGCUGUGGCAUAGUAGGCUAAGCCUCCACAUGUAGCGCAGUAUCUCAUAUGGGCUCCAGGUCGUGUCCCAGCUGCUCCUCUUCUGACCCAGCUCUCUGAUGAUGGCCUGGGAAAGCAGUGGAGGAUAGCCCAACUGCUUGGGCCCCUGCACCCACAUGAGAGACCCGGAAGAAGCUCCUGGCUUCAGAUUGGUCCAACUCUGGCUGUUGCAGCCAUUUGGAGCUGAGCCAGACCUCGCAAGUUCUCCGGAUCUUCAAGCGAGUCCCAGUGGAGACACUUCUGAAUGCUCAGCUGAAAUGCGGCAGUCCAGUCCUUGGCUGGAGACUGUGUGCCCCGCCCGUAGGAGCCAAGCCUCCGGUUGUCACUGUCCUUCCCAAGGCUAUUGGACAGGAAGCCCAAGAGCACAAGUGUAGAGCAGCGGAUGCACAGUGUAUAAGCUUUGGUGCUAGCCCUCGGUUAUCCUAUCACCCUGGGUUUCUGCUACACAAAGAAGUAGUUCUCACCAAGGCUUCCCUCUUGUGGGAUGGCCUCAGCAAUGUGCUAAUGUUUUAAAAGAUUAACAGGCAGGCAUUGUUUUGUAGCGGGGAAAGCUGCCACCUGAGACUCCACCACAGGCUUCCCAUAUGGACUCCAGUUCAAGUCCUGACUGCUCCACUUCCGAUCCAGCUCUCUGCUAUGGCCUGGGAAAGCAGUAGAAGAUGGCCCAAGUCCUUGGGUCACUGCACCCACUUGGGAGACCUGGAAGAAGCUGCUGGCUCCUGGCUUCAGACGGGCCCAGCCCUGGCCAUUGCAGCCAUUUGGGAAGUGAACUAGUCAAUGGAAAACCUCUCUUUGUCUCUCCCUGUCUCUCUGUAACUCUGCCUUUCAAAUAAAUAAAUAAAUAAAUCUUUAAAAAAUAAAAAAAUGAAAAGAUUAAUACCUUAAACCCCCUUAGGUAGUAUUCUUCUGUAAGAACUAAGCAAGUCACAGAGACUCUUGGCUAAUUUGUUACAAUUAAGGAAUUGGGAUUUGUAGGGAUAUUUGACUCCUCUGGGACAGAUUCAUAGCAGGCAGUAGAUAUAAUAAAGAGAACACAGUGAGUUCUGAUGGACAGUCUGAAGGAGCUGGGAACCCACAAUAUAUGUCUUGGUUCCUGAAAAAUUUGCCUCUCCAUGGCCCUAUUAUUAAUUAUUUAAUAUUCUUUAUGGAUGAGGAAAUAAAUACUAAAAGUGGGUACAUUAUCAAUAGUGAGAAACUCUAUAAGGUUUUAAAAAUAUAUGUAUAUUUAUUUAUUUGAAAGGCAGAGUUACAGAGAGUGAGAGAGAAAGAGAUCUUCCAUCCGCUGGUUCACUCCUCAAAUGGCCACAAUGGACAGGGCUGGGCCAGGCCGAAACCAGGAGCCUGGAACUCCAUUUGGGUCUCCCACAUGGAUGGCAGGGACCAAGUACUUGAGCCAUCAUCCACUGCCUUCCCAGGCUCAUUAGCAGAGCAGCCAGGACUUGACCCAGCAUUCCAGCAGUUUAACCUACUGCACCACAAUGUCAGCCCCUCAUCAGAGAUUUGAUCUGUAUAUAGAUUUCAUAACAUUUAUAAUCUUAAAAAAGUAGCUUUACAAAACCAAGUUGUCCCAAACAUGCUUAAAUGUUUUCUAAUAACUGAUCUGAGUACCAGUCUUUAAAUUCAAAUUGAAGUUGAAUAAAAUAAAGACUCAAAUCCCUCAGUGACAUAAGCUGCAUAUCGAGGGUUCAGUAGUUACGUGGGGCUGGUGGCCAUUUCCUGGACCAAUGCAUGGGAAGUGGGCAGGAGCUCUGAGGGGCUGGAGAUGAAGCAAAGAGUGAGGAAAGGCAUCCCAAGGCAGGAGGAACAGCCUGGGAGUUGGCGUGUGCCUCGCGUGAGCCUAGGACAACAUGGAGGCCAGUUUGCUCAGAACCCAUGGGGUGAGGUUUAAGAGACAGGUGGAGUCAGAUUGGGAAGGGUUUAUAUAGGAGUAUGUUAAGAUGUUUUGCUUGUUUGUGUGUGUGUGUGUGUGUGUGUGUGUGUGUGUUUGCUUUGUUUUGUUUUGGGAGGUUUUAAAAAAUGUUUAAUUUAUUUGAAAGGAAGACACACACAGAGGUCUUCCAUCACACCAGUACACUCCCCCCAAAUGUGGGCUGGCUGGAAGCCAGGAAUUUAAUCUGGAGUCUUCCAAUAAGUACUUAAACCAUCACCAUUGCUUUCCAAGGUAAGCAUUAGCAGGAGACUGGAAUUGGGAGAGGAGCCAGGCCUCGAAGCAGCCACUUCAAUAUGGGACAUGGGAGUCCCAAGCUGUGAUGUUAGGGUUUUAUCCCAUCCACGAAAAGGAACCGCUCAAAUAUUUUUGAGCAGGGGGCGGGUGACACCUGCAGCAUUUUAGGUGCCAGUGCCCGUGAGGCGAUGGAGAGGGCAGGAUGGAGGUGGCUGUGGAGCCUUGGGUGUGCUGACAGCACCUGGCUAGCAUAUCAGCAGAUAGAACCAUCCAGAGGCUUUACAAAGCCAGGAUCUGCAGGCCUUAGACACUGACCAAGUUAUUUAGAAAGAGGGCCAGGAAAGAGGUGGAGGCGGGGGAGUCUUGGAGCCUGUGUGCCUGGGAGACACUGAGAAGUUAGGAAAUGGCUUCCUGGGACAGCAGCUGAACCACCUGGUGUCUAUUUUUUUAAAUUAUUUUAAAGCAAAGACAUAAUUUAUAGUACCUGCCCCACCCUUUGAGUCACACAGUGACUACUCCGGACUUUGCCCUGAGAUUGUAAGAGACACUCCUGAGUUCAAGGGAACUCUCGGAGGGGCAGGGUCCAGGCUGGAGCUGAAUCGAGGGCCCUUCGUUCUCAGAAAGGGCUAGCGGCAGCCCCCUGCUUCCUGACUGCUUUGUUACAGCCCCGCCAUCCUCCCUGGGAAGGCCUAGCUGCCCAGGUGAAUCCAGGUUUGCUGGGAGACAGGAGGAAUUGGCUCCUGCAAUCGUCCAUGUCCGCAGCUCCCUACGGUCCCCAGCCUCCAGGUGUACACAGUCCAGAUCAGAAGCAGAUAUCCCGGGGCUCAUCCAGGUGGGGACCCAUCCACCCACUGUGCUCUCUGUGACAUGAAACAAGUACAACACUGCGCUGUCGAGAGUGUGGGGAGUGCCCGCUCUGGGCCAGGCAUGCUGCUGGGUGUUGGGCAUGAAGGGGAAGGAGUUUAUGAGGAGUUUACAGUGAGCAGGGCGGAUCAGCCUCCCGGUCGCCUCUGUGCCAAGGGCUCUGUGCCAUGUUGGGGGCAGGCGCAGCCGGCCAGGGCUGUGUGUGGGAGUUGAAAUCUCUCGGCCAGGCUGGGAGCUCAGUGUGAGUCUUGAAAGAGGAAGUGAGGAGGAGGAGUGGGAGGGAGGACGUUCUGGGCUGGGAUCAGCAUGGGGUGAAGACAGGGGAGUGCAAUGAUAACGGGAUGGCCGUGCCACAGUGGCACUGGUGGGUGUGUGCUGGGCACUGUGAUUAGUCUCUCCUCACUUCUCAGAUAGGCAAACUGAAACUAUGAGCAGUAAAAUGCCCCUCUCCAAGGUCACGCUGCAGGGAUGGGGCUGGUUCAAACCCAUAAAUAGCCCCGACUCAGGCCACCUCUUUAAGCAGCAGGGAUCUGAGAACCACACAGCAGCCAGUUGGGAGCAUUUGGAGAACCCACCAUUAUGCGCAAACAUCAGGUUUUGUUUCUGUCAUGGAUUAAGGGUGCCACGUGGCAAUCCCUGUUGCUACUUGGAAUAAACCAGAAGACCCGACCUGGUGCUUCUCCAGACAGGACACGAACAGGACUCCCGAGCUACUGACAGUAGCUUGGCACAGCAGCUGUGUGGGGCCGGCAGCGUGCAGGGCUGCCCCCACCCCAACCUGUCCAGGCAGCCCCCAGCUGGGUGGGCCCAGGCAGCCACUUCCUCCUGAUGCUGGCUGGGCACAGGCCCAGGCUCGGGCUUUUCUAGGUCAGGCGAUUCCGUCUUCAGCCAGGCCCGAAGAUAGAGUCUGUGUAAACACAGACUAUCUCCCACUCCAACAUUUCCUUUGAGAGGCUCCAUUCCAACUUCUUAUCAACCCGAGCUUCCUACUCUGAUAUCAGGAAGCUAUUAAAGUCCCUUUCCUGGUGCUGCCUUGACCCCACCAAAACAUGCGUGUGUGGAAGCAAAUGUCCCUUAAGGCAGACUUCACGCUCCCCAAACCCACCGCCCAGCCUCAAGCCCCCACGUCGAACCCGCCUGCGGGGCCUCGAGCCUGUCUUCAGCCAAAGCCGUGCGCCCGAGCGCCUCCUUUCUACGCCAGCUACUUUCAACGCCUUGUGCUCAGCUUCUCAGGCCUUCCGCGACCUUAUUCACAUUUUCCUCUUCGUCCUCUUUCCAAGCCCUCCCCUCGGUCCUGCUCAUCCCUCCACCUUUUCCCCACACUGUUGCCCUCCUGGAUGGGGAAGUCCUGUCCCCCUCUCCUCCCAAGUCCUUCCACAGGAAGGAACGUGAGGGAGGAGAAAUGGCAAAGGCAGUCUGUCGCUCCCCGUCUUCGUGGGGGAACGACACAAGACCCUACGCUGUUCUUUCGUCUGCUCGGCCCUCCCCGGGUUUGCUGCUGGUUCUUCCCGGGUUGGCUACUAUCCCUUCCACCUCCGUGGAAGGGCAGUUCCCCCUGGCUGCUUUCCCCACUUCCGCAGGGGAGCGGCACACCGCCGGCCGGCUUUUCUCGGGGGCUGCACAGGUGUUCCUUCAGCUAGAUGUUCCUGGUGCAUGCCGUCUCUCUCCUCCUUUAUAGUCCUCCUCCGCCAAUCCUAACUCGGCUGCCCACACGCCGAGUACGCUGCUCUCCUCCAAUCAGUAGCAAGUCCUACAGUUUAUUAGUUGAACUGGAGGCAGCUGUGCGGAAGCUGUUUACUUCUCUCCCAGCGCCAUAUUGUGGGAGAGCAGAUGCAUACAAUAAGUCUUAAUUCCAGUAACUCAGUCUAGUCCGGUUUGCUCC